UAAUAAGCGGAGGAAAAGAAACUAACAAGGAUUCCCCCAGUAACGGCGAGUGAAGCGGGAACAGCUCAAAUUUGAAAUCUCCGAGGUUUAUCGCCUCGGCGAGUUGUAGUUGCGAGAAGUACUUUCUCGGCGGACCGACCGCGCCUAAGUUGCUUGGAACAGCACGUCGCAGAGGGUGACAACCCCGUCUGUGGCGCGGCCGGCCGCUUACCAUGUGCUUUCGAAGAGUCGGGUUGUUUGGGAAUGCAGCCCAAAACGGGUGGUAAACUCCAUCUAAAGCUAAAUACUGGCGUGAGACCGAUAGCGA
rnacentral:rRNA from 1 species